rnacentral:rRNA from 1 species
GACGAACGCUGGCGGCGUGCUUAACACAUGCAAGUCGAACGGAAAGGCCCUGCUUUUGUGGGGUGCUCGAGUGGCGAACGGGUGAGUAACACGUGAGUAACCUGCCCUUGACUUUGGGAUAACUUCAGGAAACUGGGGCUAAUACCGGAUAGGAGCUCCUGCUGCAUGGUGGGGGUUGGAAAGUUUCGGCGGUUGGGGAUGGACUCGCGGCUUAUCAGCUUGUUGGUGGGGUAGUGGCUUACCAAGGCUUUGACGGGUAGCCGGCCUGAGAGAGUGACCGGCCACAUUGGGACUGAGAUACGGCCUAGACUCCUACGGGAGGCAGCAGUGGGGAAUAUUGCACAAUGGGCGGAAGCCUGAUGCAGCAACGCCGCGUGCGGGAUGACGGCCUUCGGGUUGUAAACCGCUUUCGCCUGUGACGAAGCGUGAGUGACGGUAAUGGGUAAAGAAGCACCGGCUAACUACGUG